GACGAACGUUGGCGGCGUGCUUAACACAUGCAAGUCGAACGGAAAGGCCCUGCUUUUGUGGGGUGCUCGAGUGGCGAACGGGUGAGUAACACGUGAGUAACCUGCCCUUGACUUUGGGAUAACUUCAGGAAACUGGGGCUAAUACCGGAUAGGAGCUCCUGCUGCAUGGUGGGGGUUGGAAAGUUUCGGCGGUUGGGGAUGGACUCGCGGCUUAUCAGCUUGUUGGUGGGGUAGUGGCUUACCAAGGCUUUGACGGGUAGCCGGCCUGAGAGGGUGACCGGCCACAUUGGGACUGAGAUACGGCCCAGACUCCUACGGGAGGCAGCAGUGGGGAAUAUUGCACAAUGGGCGGAAGCCUGAUGCAGCAACGCCGCGUGCGGGGUGACGGCCUUCGGGUUGUAAACCGCUUUCGCCUGUGACGAAGCGUGAGUGACGGUAAUGGGUAAAGAAGCACCGGCUAACUACGUGCCAGCAGCCGCGGUGAUACGUAGGGUGCGAGCGUUGUCCGGAUUUAUUGGGCGUAAAGGGCUCGUAGGUGGUUGAUCGCGUCGGAAGUGUAAUCUUGGGGCUUAACCCUGAGCGUGCUUUCGAUACGGGUUGACUUGAGGAAGGUAGGGGAGAAUGGAAUUCCUGGUGGAGCGGUGGAAUGCGCAGAUAUCAGGAGGAACACCAGUGGCGAAGGCGGUUCUCUGGGCCUUUCCUGACGCUGAGGAGCGAAAGCGUGGGGAGCGAACAGGCUUAGAUACCCUGGUAGUCCACGCUGUAAACGGUGGGUACUAGGUGUGGGGUCCAUUCCACGGGUUCCGUGCCGUAGCUAACGCUUUAAGUACCCCGCCUGGGGAGUACGGCCGCAAGGCUAAAACUCAAAGGAAUUGACGGGGCCCCGCACAAGCGGCGGAGCAUGCGGAUUAAUUCGAUGCAACGCGUAGAACCUUACCUGGGUUUGACAUGGAUCGGGAGUGCUCAGAGAUGGGUGUGCCUCUUUUGGGGUCGGUUCACAGGUGGUGCAUGGCUGUCGUCAGCUCGUGUCGUGAGAUGUUGGGUUAAGUCCCGCAACGAGCGCAACCCUUGUUCACUGUUGCCAGCACGUUAUGGUGGGGACUCAGUGGAGACCGCCGGGGUCAACUCGGAGGAAGGUGGGGAUGACGUCAAGUCAUCAUGCCCCUUAUGUCCAGGGCUUCACGCAUGCUACAAUGGCUGGUACAGAGAGUGGCGAGCCUGUGAGGGUGAGCGAAUCUCGGAAAGCCGGUCUCAGUUCGGAUUGGGGUCUGCAACUCGACCUCAUGAAGUCGGAGUCGCUAGUAAUCGCAGAUCAGCAACGCUGCGGUGAAUACGUUCCCGGG
rnacentral:rRNA from 1 species